rnacentral:rRNA from 1 species
GACGAACGCUGGCGGCGUGCUUAACACAUGCAAGUCGAACGGAAAGGCCCUGCUUUUGUGGGGUGCUCGAGUGGCGAACGGGUGAGUAACACGUGAGUAACCUGCCCUUGACUUUGGGAUAACUUCAGGAAACUGGGGCUAAUACCGGAUAGGAGCUCCUGCUGCAUGGUGGGGGUUGGAAAGUUUCGGCGGUUGGGGAUGGACUCGCGGCUUAUCAGCUUGUUGGUGGGGUAGUGGCUUACCAAGGCUUUGACGGGUAGCCGGCCUGAGAGGGUGACCGGCCACAAUGGGACUGGGAUACGGCCCAGACUCCUAAGGGAGGCAGCAGUGGGGAAUAUUGCACAAUGGGCGGAAGCCUGAUGCAGCAACGCCGCGUGCGGGAUGACGGCCUUCGGGUUGUAAACCGCUUUCGCCUGUGACGAAGCGUGAGUGACGGUAAUGGGUAAAGAAGCACCGGCUAACUACGUG